ACUCAAAGGAAUUGACGGGGACCCGCACAAGCGGUGGAGUGUGUUCUUUAAUUCGAUGGUAAGCGAAAAACCUUACCCAGGCUUGAAAUCCUUGGAAGUUCUGCGAAAGCAGAGUGUGCCUUCGGGAACCAAGUGACAGGUGUUGCAUGGCCGUCGUCAGCUCGUGUCGUGAGAUGUUAGGUUAAGUCCUUCAACGAGCGCAACCCUUGUGAAUAGUUGAAUUUUUCUAUUCAGACUGCCCUAGUGAUAGGGAGGAAGGGGGGGAUGAGGUCAGGUCAGUAUUACCCUUACGUCUGGGGCUAGAAACACACUACAAUGGCCGGUACAAAGGGCUGCCAAGUCGCGAGACGGAGCAAAUCCCAUCAAAGCCGGUCUCAGUUCGGAUAGGAGGCUGAAACUCGCCUCCUUGAAGCUGGAAUCGCUAGUAACGGUAGGUCAGCAUACUACCGUGAAUACGUUCCCGGGUCUUGUACACACCGCCCGU
rnacentral:rRNA from 1 species